rfam:Trichobilharzia regenti genome assembly, scaffold: TRE_scaffold0061421
GCACUGAUGAAGAGUCCCAAACUAGGACGAAACAGCUGUCCAGUAC